UCCCUGGUAGCUCAGAUGGUAAAGUGUCUGCCUAUAAUGCGGGAGACCCAGGUUCGAUCCCUGGCUCAGGAA
rnacentral:tRNA from 1 species